GACGAACCGAGCGAACGUUGUUCGGAAUCACUGGGCUUAAAGGGCGCGUAGGCGGGCGGCCGCGUCCGGGGGUGAAAUCCUCCCGCCCAACGGGAGAACGGCCUCGGAUACGGGCGGCCUCGAGGGGGGUAGGGGCGUGCGGAACUGUGGGUGGAGCGGUGAAAUGCGUUGAGAUCCACAGGAACUCCGGUGGCGAAGGCGGCACGCUGGACCCCUCCUGACGCUGGAGGCGCGAAAAGCUAGGGGAGCAAACGGGG
rnacentral:rRNA from 1 species